UACAGAGGGGGCAAGCGUUGUUCGGAAUUACUGGGCGUAAAGGGCGCGUAGGCGGCCUUCUAAGUCGAACGUGAAAUCCCUGGGCUCAACCCAGGAACUGCGUCCGAUACUGGGAGGCUUGAAUCCGGGAGAGGUGAGUGGAACUGCGAGUGUAGAGGUGAAAUUCGUAGAUAUUCGCAAGAACACCAGUGGCGAAGGCGGCUCACUGGCCCGGUACUGACGCCGAGGUGCGAAAGCGUGGGGAGCAAACAGG
rnacentral:rRNA from 1 species